ACAUUUCCAUCUGCUAGCUGCAUAACAGGGGCAAUGCAGGUGCAUUCCUGCAUGCAUUGUCUCUCUCAUGAAGCCCUACAUCUCCAUCGUACCACUUGCAUACAUAAAAAAGCUUGGUAGACACUUGUGCACUGUAUGAGUCCGUUUUCAUGCUCCUGAUAAAGACAUACCCCAGACUGAGAAGAAAAAGAGGUUUAAUUGGACUUACAGUUCCACAUGGCUGGAGAGGCCUCAGAGACAUGGUGGGAGGCAAAAAGCACUUCUUACAUAGCGGCAACAGGAGAAAAUGAGGAAGAAGCAAAAGCGGAAACGCUGAUAAACCCAUCAGAUCAGGGCUUCUGCAGUACUAUGCUGAACAGAAGAGGUGAAGGUAAGCAUCCUCAUCUUAUUCCUCAUCUUAUAGGAAAAGCUUUCACAUUUUCUCCAUUGAGGAUGAUGUUUAUUGUGGGCUUGUCAUACAUGAACUUUAUUAUGUUGAUGUACUUGCUUUCUAAACCUAGCUGUUGUGUGUUUUUAUCAUGAAAAGGUAUUGAAUUUUGUCAAAUACUUUUUUUGUAUUUAUUUACAUUAUCUUGUUAUUUUUAUCCUUCAUUCUAUUAAUGUGGUAUAUUGCAUUUGCUAAUUUGUAUAUGACGUUGAACCACCCUAAAGGUUCCUCAAAUAAAAACUUAGAACAAAUAAACAAAUUCAGUAAGGUUUCAGGAUACCAAAUCAAUGUACACAAAUCCACUGCAUUUCUAUUCACUAAAAGUAAAGCAUCUGAAAAGGAAAUUAAGAAAACAAUCCCAUGUACAAUGGCGUCAGAAAGAAUAAAAUGCUUGGUAAUAAACGUGACCAAGAAAGUGAAAUACUUGCUUCUUGAUAACUAUAAAACAUUGAUGAAAAAAAUUAAAGACACAAAUAAAUAAAAAACUUCCUCUGUGUUCAUGGAUUGAAUGACAAUAUUGAUCGGGUAUCCACACUAAACAAAGUAAUCUACAGAUUUAAAUUUAUUGCCAUCAAAUUCCCAAUGGCAUUUUUUAAAAUAUAAAAGCAAUUUGAAAUUCAUAUGGAACUACAAAAGAUCCAAAACACCCACAGAAAUCUUGAGACAGAGGAACAAAGCUGAAGGUAUCACACUUCCUGAUUUCAAAAUAUAUUAUAGAGCUACAGUAAUAAAACAGUAUGGUACAAGCAUAAAGACAAACAUAUAAACAAACAGAACAGAAUGGAGAGCCCAGAAAUAAACCCAUAUAUAUGGACAAGUGACCUGUGACACAGAUGCCAAGAAUACACAGUAGGGAAUGGAUACUCUCUUCAACAAAUGGCAUGAAGAAUAUCAGGUAUCAUGGAGUUUUCAGCCUUUUUGCGUGGGUUUUCCCUCAUGUUCAUGGAUUUAUCUACCUUUGGUCUUUGAUGCUGGUGACCUUCAGGUGGGGUUUUUGUGUGAAUGUCCUUUUUGAUGAUGUUGAUGUUAUUCCUUUCUGUUUGUUGGUUUUCAGGUUAAAGACUUAAACCUAAGACCUAAAAAUCAUAAAAGCCCUAGAAGAAAACCUAGGCAAUACCAUUCAGGACAUAGGCACGGGCAAAGACUUUAUGACUAAAACACCAAAAGCAAUUGCAACAAAAGCCAAAAUUGACAAAUGGGAUCUAAUUAAACUAAAGAGCUUCUGCACAGCAAAAGAAAUUAUCAUCAGAGUGAACAGGCAACCUACAGAAUGGGAGAAAAUUUUUGCAAUCUAUUCAUCUGACAAAGGGCUAAUAUCCAGAAUCUAAAAGGAACUUAAACAAAUUUACAAGGAAAAAAAAAUCAAAAA